UGUGUGCAUGGCUUUGGAGAGCAAGCUGCCCAUCAUGGAAUCAUGGAGCCUUGGUGCAUUUAAAACACUCUGUGUUGUAGGAACAUGGCAGGAGGUCAUUCUGGCAUCAAACCCAGAGCUGUACGUUCGAGUGCCUGUCAGGACCACAGCAAACUCCAUAACCGCCUGGAUAUAGUGGAGAAGAAAGUUGAAGACACAGUGGAGAAGUUGGAAGACGAGCUGGCCAUUCUUCUGGACGCCAUCGAAGCCCCGGAGUGGGGCCCUCUACUGGACAUUACCGGGACACCAUCGGUGGACAUCCUCGAUGGACACGGAGAAAUUGCCCCGUUUGAUACGAAAUAAUAACGAUACGAGUAUAGACAUUGGGUAUGCCUCUUUUUACACCAGUUAGUUGAUUUUUCUCAAAAUGUAUCUUGUUCUUAAAGAAAGUUUAUAGGUUGCUGCAGAAAGACAAUACAAUGCGUAACAUAUUCGGACACAAAUGAUUGACGGUCUUCGCUAGAUCUACUAGCCAAACAUGUCUGUUUAUAUUGUUUGUACUCAUCUCUCUUUUAAAGAUGAUUUAUGCCUUUUGGCUACGAUUUGGACUUCACUCUUAUUUUACCAAUUGAUUCGCAAGGGAACCCAUCCUUUAUGCCAGUGCGUCUGUCGCCCCCUGUGGACAAUGAACAGCUCCAAUAACAAGUGUGUAUGUCAACCUCAAUAAAGAGAACCUGAAAGAUAUAUUUGAAAGAGACUUGAUCAUAAAAGGUUUCACCGUUGGUAGUAAUUUUAUUUCUUUAUCAAAGCACUUAAAAGCAGCAUGUUUUAUUUUAAACACAGGGGGGUUGAGUGGGUUCUGUACAAGGCCUUGGUUGUUGGUGGCCCUGACUUGCAGGUCAUUUGGUUUCUGCAGUGUAGAAUACUUGUUGUCGAACAGGAACACACAGGGAAGGAAUGGCAUUCAUGACGUUGGUUUUCUCAACAUGGCACUGGUUUGUAUGUUGUUCAAAUGGAUUCAAAUGUUUAAAAUAGAAGUCAUGCUGUUUUUUUUCUUGGCAAGACACUAACACAAUAUAUUCCAACAGCUCAGGUUAAUAUGCUCACAAUGACAAAGUCCAACACACGAAUACACAGAGAAAACAUUGAAAGGAUUUGCAAGAAAUGCCGAAUUAGGAUUGAUCACCGAUGACAGUACUGCAGUAGACAAUCUACACAAAAAUCACUUAUCAAAAUAAUUAUUUAUAUUAGAUAGCAUAUUUCUGUAGUCAAAUGUUUAAUAGUAACAAAGGUUCUGUCAUUUAUUCUGAUGGUCUGUCUUUAAAGCGAGACUGGACCACCUAUUAAAGUUAUCUGAAAUGACACCACUUAUUUCUGCCUGUUGAACAUUCAGCAUAUUAAAUAGAGACAACAAAAGCUGCCCUGGUGCUAAACCAACCCUCUAUGUUCCAUUUCUCCUAAACUGAUAAAGGGGAAAGGUUAACCUGCGGAAAAGGUCAAAUGCUUCGAUUUUUCUUAAACAAAUCAAAUCAUCCAGAGAGGGCAAAAGCCGGCAUUCUUGAACAAGGCAUUAGGAAAACCUUUCGGAUGCGAAAAGACACUGGAUAUAAUCUACACUUAUCAUGCCGUCCAUACGCCACAGGAACUCUAUCGGUUGUACAGGUACAGAUGCUUACGUAAUACUCCUUCUUUACUCUGAUUGGGCGCCACCUGUGUCAAUCUUGGACCGAGCGUCAAGGCUUGCAAUUAACAAAAGCUUGUGCAUGCACAGGUGAGCCAGACACGAGUCAGAUCCAGGCUCGGGAUAAAAAACAGGCUAAUACAGGUUUAGUACAUGCAAAAAGACCACGGGAUGUAAAUAAUGCACUUAUCUUUUCAUGGCAUGUUUGCAUGGAUUAAAAUAUUCAAUUUCAUAUCCUGUAGAAGAGGCUUAAUAAUCUAAUCAUUGAGUCCUGAUGGUAUAUCCAUCUCAAAUACGUUAUGUGUGUGUGUGUGUGUGUGUGUGUGUGUGUGUGUGUGUGUGUGUGUGUGUGUGUGUGUGUGUGUGUGUGUGUGUGGUUGUGCGCGUGCGUGCUUGCGUGUACUUUUCAACACAUACAGCUUCACAACAGGGUUGUAAAAACAAUACAAUAGUUUAUCUUGCAGAAGGAAUAUCUAGGCUUUAGACAUCACACUGGGGAGAGAGAAAGAGAGAGAGAGAGAGAGAGAGAGAGAGAGAGAGAGAGGGAGGGAGAGGGAGACGGCUACAUUCAGACAGAGUUCCUUAUAGAAAUGGUUAUGCAAAUGGUAGAAAAGCUUUGGCAUAUUUCGCCUACAAGUUGUGCCUGCACACUUGGAAAGAGGAGCGGAGGGCUGUGGCGUGAAGGAUCGCCUUCACCUGCUUCCCUUCCACGAGGCGGGGCGUCAGGUGACCGCCGGGCCCACAUAAAACUGUGGUCACUUAGUCCUUUUUUUUUUUCUUUAAUAAUCUAUGCUAUUUACAAUGGAUUCGUUUUUUUUUGACAUUUAUAUUACUGUUAUCUUUAUUUAGACCUGUUGGUCAGGCGUCAGGGUUUUAAGGUGGGUUUGCUACAUGUUCCUAGGCGUUCCUGGCAGAGAUGGACGGCGGUUGUCCUUAAUGGCUGCGCCGCCGUCACGCACACUACGGUAACGGUAACACACGACCACGAUAACACACGACUACGGUAACACACGACUACGGCGCCGGGGCGUACGCUGCUAUGCUACGGACCUCCCAGCACAGCCUGCCCCCACCGACGUCUCCUCACACCACGCCCGAUCGGUUCCACGGGUAAAACCGUGAGCGUACGGGCGUUCCCUCAUGUAGCGUCCGGUUCCCAAGAGACUUAAGGGGGAAUAAAGGGCGGAUUUUGAGCGAGAUUCUAAUCAAACUACAUGUUGGCCACUGUUACUUAAGACGUUAACCAAGCAUCAAACGUGUUUCCAGCAGGUGUGGUGGUUGAUGAACCCUACGAUUCUAGGACUCUAGUUACACACACAUUAGAGGACCAAUGAGCUAAUUAACAGGACCUAGAUACACACAGCAGAAUAUCAAGUAGCUCUCGCUUCACCGAGAGGGGUGUGGAACAGAAGGAGAGGAUGGCCAAAACGUCACAGCGAUGGGGGGAAUUAGGUGGGGCUAGUAGACGGGGCUUAAAGUAUCGGAGAGAAAACAAGACGCAGGGGGGGUCUCUGCUCCGCGGUGGCAGUCUGGAGGGAGGGGCUUCUUUUCAGGUCGGGGGAUGAAAUGCGGCAGGGGAUGGGGGAGGAUGGGGAGGAGAUGGGGACAUUCAAAUGGAGGAGGGAUGAGAAAGCGGCCGCUUUUGUGUUUCAGGAUCACUGUGUGCGAGUGUGUGUGUGUCUGUGCGUGUGUCUGUGCGUGUGGAGGCGGCGGCAAGUGCACUGAAAGCAGAGAGGGGGGAGGGAGAGAACGAGAGAGAGAGCAAGAGAGAAGAGAGAGAGAACGAGAGAGAGAACGAGAGAGAAAGAGAGGAAAACAGAAAGUCUCUACGAGUGACUUUUCUGAAGUUCUGCUAAAUUAUUGAACACUUCCCGUCAGGAGGGUGAAGAUGGUGAGAGGUCAGGCAGGAAGGUCUUGCACCCCCCGUACUUCCCGCCCCUUCACCCCUCC
ensembl:lncRNA